CUAAGCUCAUUAAAAAAAAGUGGGCCUAAGCCUAUAAACAAAAAAGAAAAAAGAGAAAGAAAGGAGAGGGGGGAGAAAAGAAAGAAAGAAGGAGCGGGCAGGACACAGGACUGGAGAAAGAAAAGAUAGGAAAAAAAUGACUGACAAACAACACAAAAAAAGAAGUGUACUAGAAUUCUCAAAUUCAUCUAAUGAUAGUGCUCUUAGGUCAUUCUGUUAUCUAAUUGUACCAGGAAAUCAAAAAUUUGCCUUCUUCUGCUUUGGUCUGAAAUGCUUGGAAAAUGGGUUUUCGGUUGACAAUUUUCAAACCUUUUCUGGGAGAAGAAGCCACCCAGACCCCCCUCGGACGUUUUCGCGCCUUUGGCACGCUCGUGACGCGCCGUCGGUGCGUACUUGUGUGGGUCUUGGUCAAUGACCUGACAGAGUCCAGCACUGCAUGUAGUUAAGACCAUGCCUUCCACUUUGGAAUGGUGAAUGACUCAUGUCUUAUGUGCCUUACUACUGGAAUGACCCCUGUUAGCCCUGUACUGAAGUCAAAGGGCAUUCCCGAACUUAGGGUACUUCCACUGAACUCAGUGGCAUGUCUGGAAUUUUAUGCUUAUUCUGAUAGGCGACGGCCAAGGUUUGGAUAUCUUGAGAAUUUUCACUUGGUUUCCGGCUCUGGGUACACCAUAUAUUAAACCUUUCGAUAGUUGGAGAUUUCUGCAAUGGUUUUGUGUAAUAUCAUUAAGAAUCGAAUGAUUUUUCAAUGAUCAAUAAAGGAUGGGCAGGGAUGGAUUUAAUUUAUUCUCUAUGACAUGAAUGAUACAUUAAACCAUGUAAAAUAGACAUGCGCAUUCUUUUCUUUGUUUUGUAAUCAAUCGAAUACCCACCAGAAAUAUUAGCCAAUCACAGUGCAGGCUUGUAUAGCGAACACAUAGGUAGCUGAUUCUUUACAGGUGAUCUGAAUUAUGGAACGCCAAACUAACAUAAAAUCAAUUCACUGCCAAUGGGUCCCGUCAAUUAAAUGAAUAUUUGUAAAUUUGUCGUUCCAUACAGCUAGAGACGCCGAUUCGAACAACCCAGUCGCCUGGUAACCGUGGUGAGUACUUUUCAGAUACAAACUUAAGAAAGCAAACAUCCCCCAACCGUCCUUCAAUUUGAAAUUGAGCGGCCAAGUGAAAGCAUCUAUUCACAUUAGCCAAAUAUAGGAUACGUCUCUCAUCUCAAACAGGUUAGUAAACUUUUAAUUUUCAUUUUAAAAUUUUAUUCAGAUAGGCUGGUAUAUUAACAAGUCCAUAGAACAGUAGAACUUUAAACCCCCAUUUAAACAGUCGAUCAAUAUUUGUACGUGACAGAAGUAGGGUAUGUCGAACCGAGUGGGUUUUCUCUUAGUCAUUCGGUUUCUUUCCAUUGGUAAAGACACGUACGUUCAGAUAGGCUGGUAUAUUAUUAACAAGUCGACAGAACAGUAGGACUUUAAACCCUCCAUUUAAACAGUCGAUUAAUAUUUUUACGUGACAGGAGUAGGGUAUGUCCUUCGUUUUUUUCCAUUGCUAAAGACACCUACGUACAAUAUACCACAUGUUAGUCCCGAAAUUACCUAGUUCGUGUUGAGUAGACGUUAAAAUAGUGUCGUGUUUUAUUUGCAUUAAACUGGACCUACAAAAUGGCGCAAAAUUCUUCAUUGUAUUACCAAUAGCAUAUGCGCAGUAUGUUAGUCUCAUAAUUGUCUCUGGGUUUUUUUUAUCAAGCAACAGUUUCUCAAUGUAGAAUUUGAAUACCCGGAAAGGAAUAGUGUGAGACGGCCUAGGUUUACAAACUAUAUGCAUUGUUCAUUAUUAAAGGGGAAGUGUCAGCGUUCACCAGGUAUACAAAUCAAGGGACAAAAUGUGAAGAAUUUUCUGAUUUAUAGCCCACCUCACAUGAAUAAUGAAAGUUUGUAUUUCUUUGGCAUAGCAUCAUAAAAUUUUAGAUUGUCGAAUAGGCCAAGGUUAGAGUCUUUCACGCAGAGUUAACCAGUUUAUUUACUUUCAUAUUUCUAUUACAUAUUACAGACAUAUCUCCUGUUAUCGGUCGGACGAUGGCGGCGUGGUAGUUCUUCUUUGGAUUGCACUAAAGGAGACAAGAAGUUUAUGGUAUCAUAGAGAGGUCCACACACGUUAUUAUUUAUCUUAUACUGGGUCUGUCUUUAUAUUCUGGCUGGUUGAUGUGUAUAAGCUUGGCUUGUGCACCAGAUUCCUUUGUAAAUAUCAUGUGAAGUUUUCCAUGAUGUAUUAAUAGGUUUUUUUUGGUUGAAAGUUGUAGACAUGGGGAGUAAUUAAAUUGGGAUAUAUUAAUAUGGCAUCAAUCAACUAAUCCCACAUCUCCUUUAGGCAACUAAUAUUUUCUUUUUGGGGUUCUUCUUUUGUUUGUUUUUUUUUGCAUGUUUUUCACUGCAUUUGCUUAAGUAAGGGGUGCUAUAUUUAAUAUAUUCUGAUAUUUGGUUUAUCUUAGAUUUUUAAUGCCCUUAAUGUAUAUUGCAAAUUUCUCAUGAGAGUCCAGUAAAGAUAAUCUUGUAUAACGUGUUUCUAUGAUAAACUUAGAUGUAUUGUUGAUAGUGGGGUCUAGAGAGUUUACGGAUACAGGAUCGUGGGGAUAUGUUUGUAAGGGACGUAUGAAGACGGUGAUAGUUGUGGAUGAGCAGGACACACAGCAUAUUAUACAUGGAGGUAUUAUUGUACAGAUAAUUGUUAUGCAAUUGAUGAGGACCACAACAAUGUUAAGACGCCGAAUGAUCAAUAUGACGAUUACCACUGGUAUAGGAGAACAGACAGGCUGUGAUUUGGAUGGAUGUCAAGCGGCAGUUUAUGGUACCGGGAACUCGACUGGGAAAUGGAAGUUGCAUAGGGAAAUUCUAGAUUGGCAAUAACAGGUUUAUGUUUUUUCUGUAUGUAUUGUAUAUAUUUUCUAAAUUUUCAUGGGUCCGUCUGAUAGGUACAGUAAAGGACAUUCUGUUGACUAGUUUGAAACACAUCUUAAAAUGGGGACCCCUUGGAAACACUGACUUUUAGUUAGGCUUGAGGUGUAAAACUACUUAAGGGACCGAGUCUAUUUGUUAUGUCUAGGGUAACAUGUCAUAACUUCAACAACAACGAUCACACCGAAGAUGUUUACCUCUAUCGGGAGAAAACACACCGACGACCAGAUGGGACGGACAGUUUCUUCAUACAUACAGAAAAUAAACACCAUAACUUCAUCAACAAAGAUCACACCGAAUAUGUUUAUCUCUAUCGGGAGAAAACACCGACGGUCAGAUGGGACGGACAGUUUCUUCAUACAUACACAAAAUAAACACCAUAACUUCAACAACAAAGAUCACACCGAAUAUGUUUAUCUCUAUCGGGAGAAAACACCGACGGUCAGAUGGGACGGACAGUUUCUUCAUACAUACACAAAAUAAACACCAUAACUUCAACAAAGAUCACACCGAAUAUGUUUGUCUCUAUCGAGAGAAAACACACCGACGGUCAGAUGGGACGAACAGUUUCUUCUAUAUCCCGAAAACACAACAUAAACAGAUACUUCACUAGUCUACAGACACAACAUAAGUUUCUUCACUAGUCUACAGACACUACAGACACAAAAGUUUCUUCACUAUUCUACAUACACAAAGAUUCGGGGUUCCUUGCAGCCAGGUGGCGAGACCUGUGCUUGAGGUUAUUGUCUGGAGAUUAGAAAUGGUGGUAAUGGUUGUAGGCUGCAGACGUACCAUUACUUCUUAGAACAUGUACACAACUACAUUCAGUCCAAUUUAGGACUUCCGUUCUUUUCGAAUUGUGAUCACCACACAAUUAUAAGACAGACCAUAACGCAAGGGUUAUGACAUUGUUAAUCUUAACACGAUUCUGGAUGAAAUAUAUUACAAACUUCUGUCUCCUACGAAGUUUUCCGUUUUCCGUCGAUUCUGGUGUGCACACCCCAUUCAUUGGCCUUCGACGGGGGCAGUUAUCUUUGAAGACUUGAAAUUGGCCACCCAGUUAUCUCUAAUAGUUAGUUUACUGUUAUAUCUUAUAGCUAUAUAGGCAGUUCGCUUAGUUUCUCUAGAACAUUACAUUUGGGCUUGUUUCAUCAUGUAGAGUUUAAACCGAUAUCUUCACUAAAAGUCUAUCAAAUCACUUCUCUAUGUAAAGGUGUGUCCAAGACUGGUUAGCAGGUGUUCCUUUACUGUAACAUUUUGAUUCACAAAUUGAUGGGGUUCGUUUGCAAUUUGGAUUUAACUAUUGUUAUAUAUCACCAACGGUCAUCAAUUUAUCUAAAUAAGCUUGUUAUUGCCAUCAAUUUAUCUAAAUAAGCUUGUUAUUUCCAUCAAUUUAUCUAAAUAAGCUUGUUAUUGCCAAACUAGUAUUUUUCUAAUGAAGUCGUCUACAGAUGUCUACUGUUAUUAUUGUUUAUUUAUAUUAUAUUCAUGAUUAUGUUUAUUUACAAUGUAAGGUCAGUAGUGAGUAAACACUUCCAGUUGAUCAGAGCACUUGGGAAAAUCCUACCUCCCCCUUCCUAAAUGGGAGUUAGGGUUGGGUAGCCGGCUCGCAAUACUGACCAUUGAUGUUAGAAACGCUUACAAAGAUCAGAAUAUUUAGUUUUGGGUAACAUUAUACUUUAUAAGUACAUAUGAGGUCAACAUUCAAAAUUUUUCAUUGUCUAUAAUGUGUAUUGUGUUUGUCGUUGGUAACUCAAUCCGCCAUUUUAAAUAACCAUUUCAAAAAUACAAUUUUUGUCGAGGGGUGGAGAGGUUACUUUUCCAUAUUUUAAAUCAAAUAUCUUAUGAUACUAACUUUUUAUACAUUUUGGAAACAUUAUUUAAUUUUUAUGCUCCCAUAUUUUCAGGCCAAAGGUUAAAAUUCUAUUUUUCACUUUCUAAACUUGGAACAUAAAACUUGAUGGGUUUUUAAAUGAGGUCAAAUAACGAUUAUUUCAAACUUGGACACACCAAUAUGAUUUUGUGUUUGGGAGGGAGGGGAGGAAAGGGAUGUUAUGUCAGACCCAUAAGAUGUUUUAAUUUAUAUUUAUAUUUCACUGAUAUUACUCUUGGGACAAUAUCAUCGACAUAUGAUUUUUCUUUAUUAUCAUAAUGAUUAUCUUAUGUUAAAUUAAUACACAUUAUAAAGGUUGUUAUUUUGUACCCCCAUAUUAAACAUUAUUUAUGCCUGUAGAUCUGUGAUGCUACAUGUCAAACUUCUAAAUUUUCCAUUUUUUUAAACUUGGAACAAACCUUUAUGGGAAUUUGAACGGGGUAAAAAUAUUUCGAAAGUUUCGGCAUACCAAAAUGAUGUGAGGGUGGUGGGUGGAUCGUGACCGCCAGAUCGUCAUGCUAUAGGUCAACAUUCUAAAUUUUCUUUUUUUUCCUAAACUUGGAACAUAAACCUUUAUGGGAAUUAGAACGGGUCAAAAUUAUUUCGAAAUUUUCGACAUACCAACAUGUAGUAGUGGGUGCGGGGUGGUUAUGUUUUUAGGAGCAACCGCAUUUCAUAGCUUUUAAAAUAUUGUUUAAUAUGGACCAAUUGAUAAUUUAUCAGUUAAAAGAGAUUAUAUUAUUGUAUUGUUUGUUAAUUAAUUAAAUACUGAUAGAUGUAGUUAAAAAUCAUUUACAAAUAAAAUAUUUCACCAUCA